GGGGAUUUACGUAUAAACCUCAAAGGGUGCAAGAAUCUUGUGUCACUGCCCCACAUUCCGUAUCGCGUCUCAUACCUUGAUGCAUCUAACUGUGAGUCGCUGAAGAGAAUAGAUGGCUUAGUUAGCAAUCCAGAGAGAUGUCUCAGUUUUGCUAACUGUUUCAAGCUGAGUGAAGCAGCGAGAGAACUCAUCGAGGAAUCGGAUUACAAGUUUGCGCUCUUACCUGGUGGAGAACUGCCUGCAGAAUUUGAUCACCGAGCAAGAGAGGGUUUACUAACUGUCAAUUUGGAUCAGAGCCCUCUACCUUUAUUCUUACGAUUUAAAGCUUGCCUUUUGCUGCUUCAUGGACACUAUAUAGAGGACGAGGAUGCCAGUGAGGAUGAUAAGGACGAUGAAUGGAUGGGUGCCAAGAGGCUUUUCUGUGACAUCUGGUACGUUCAGAAUGGCCUCUAUGUUGGACAUGGAUCCUGCAAGUACCAGCUACCAGCAGUACUUGGAUUUAAGGAGCAUGUGUAUUUCUUGGAAUCUUCCAUUUCACUAAACCUUCCUGAAACAGAUGAGAAUGUCAGCCAGCUUCAUUUUGAGUUCAAGAUCACUGGUAAAUACUGGGAUGUAAAAGACUUUGGUCUACAGCUCUUCGAAGACCCUGAUGUUCGUGAUGACCAUGUAUGCUGUGGUGAUACUUACAAAGAAACUGCGGACAUCAAUAUUAGAGAAAACUUACAUGCAGGAACAAUGUGAAGAAGAGAAACAAUUUAAGAGCUAAGCUUUCUGGAAAGAAGCAACUUAUUGGGUUCUGACAAUGUUUGUGGGCCUUUUUUUUAAUCAUUCCUAAGCAAUGGGCCUUACUAAAUGAUUAAUGGGUCUAACUAAAUGGGCUUAAAUCCGAAACAUUAAAUUCGCACGAGGGAAAGUCUCUUCUAAGCGACAGUUCAUAGCAAUUUCUUUCAAAAUCUCCUUUUUCCUGUAAACGUCGCCGUCGCCGUCGCCGGAUGGAUCGACCGCCGUCGUUUCCUCACUACCAAAGCCCUAAUCCCAAUUUCUUACUCCAGCGCUCCAUCUCUUCCCGAGCUCUCCGGUACACUCUCCUCUCUAAUGUCAACGCACCUUAGAUUCCCUCUCGCAAAAUCUAUCUCUAGAACACUCUUCUCUUCUCCCCAAGGACGGUAUUGUUCGGUGCUCUUUUGAUCCAGAUCAUCUCAUGCCACCAGAAGCUCUCUUCCUCCAUUCACGCCGUUGCGCAAACUCUCUCGAUCUCACUCACCUCCUUAGAUCAUUUGGUAGCUACCGAAACACGCUCGAGUUACCGAUUGAGCCACAGCUGAAUAACGGCGAUUGUGAUCUCUGUUUCUCCUUAGAUGACGUCACCGAGUUAGGCAACAACUUCUUCUACAACGAUGGUAAAACGCGGCGUUUUACACUUCCUAGUGUUCUUCUAUCUGUGGAAAAUGCAGCGAGUUUGAAUGUUCUUCUGUGUUGGAGAAAUCAUUAGGGCUCUUACCCAACUUCGUAUUCCUUUAGUGUUCUUUGUUCGAUUCUCGGUUAAGAAGCGGUUGAAAUGAGUGAGUUAAGCGCGUGGAUUCUGGUGAAUUCAACGAGAUACGGUGUUGUAAUCGAUACAUACAUGAGUGAUCAUGUUCUCUUGCUGUUUAGGUUGUCUAUGAAAGCGGUUGUUAAGGAAGCUAGUGGGUUUAUGAUGGAGUAUGAUGCUAAUGCCGCUGGUGAGCAGAGCUGCAAAAGCAGAACGUUUGAGUGUCCAGUUUUGUUUCGAGUGUUGUCUUGGUUAGCCUCUCAGCUUGGCGUAUUGUAUGGGGAAGGAAAUGGGAAGUUUUUUGCACUAGACAUGCUGAAACAGUUCGUUGAAGUAUUUGUCUCUCGAAUUAUGUUGUUUCGGUCACCUGAAUCCUCUGGUGUUCUCAAGGAUUUGGAUGAGGAUGUGAAGAUUGGGAAAAUUUUGGACAAUGGUCAGGUGAUAUCUGUGUCUCGUGUGGCAGCAGCAGUUGCAGCGUUGUAUGAAAGAUCCAUGCUUGAAGGAAAAAUGACAACAAUUCGAUAUGCACAACCACUAACAAGAUAUCAACGGUUGGUUUCGAAAACUUUGUCCAUCUCUAUAGUGUUUAAGUUUCAUAUCAUGUUUGAAUCUGAGUUUGAUUCUUUAUGAUGUCUACAUGACUCUGUAGGUUAGCUGAGCAUGGUGCUAUGACAGCUAAAGCUGAUGAGGAACGCACAUCUCCUCUAUUGGGAAGUCCACUAGUCUCGAGGAGUUACAUCUCGCUGGUUGCUUUGAGUUGAUUGUGAUCCCCUCGUCCAUUGGGAAUGCUAUUAAUCUCAAGACGUUGAAUGUCCAGGUGUGCCAGGGUCUGGUUGAACUCCCCUCCUCUAUUUGGAGCCUUAAGAAGUUAAAGAAACUGUUAAUUGCAGGAUGCCCAAACCUUAACCAUUUGGGGUCACAGUUGAGAAGCUUUCCUGAUAUUUCCGGAAACAUUACAGAAUUAGAUAUGAGUAAUACAGCGAUAGAAGAGUUUCCUUCGUCAAUCAUGGCUUUUUCGUGUCUUCGUAAACUCACAACAAUGACUGCUGAAAGUCUCAGGGUGUUUCCAGAUGUUCCUGACACCAUCGAAGUGUUAAAAUUGCACAAUGCGGGAAUAGAAGAAAUUCCUCCGUCGAUUAAGAAUCUCUCAGGUCUCACUACACUAAGCAUGCCUCGCUGCAAGAAGCUAAAGGUCCUUCCAACCAACGUCAACCUGCAAUCGCUCUCUUCACUUGAUCUCAGUUCCUGCACACAAUUGAGAACUUUUCCAGAGAUAUCUGUAGGCAUUAGAUCUCUUAAUCUGAGCAAUACUGGUAUAGAAGAAGUCCAUUCAUCCAUAUGGUCUUGGUCCAGUCUUCUUAAAUUGAACUUGGAAGAUUGCCACAGCCUUCGGGUGUUCCAUUGCGUUCCUGACAACAUCGAAGAGUUGGACUUGAGAAAUACGGGAACAGAUUUCUCAGGUGGGGAUUUACGUAUAAACCUCAAAGGGUGCAAGAAUCUUGUGUCACUGCCCCACAUUCCGUAUCGCGUCUCAUACCUUGAUGCAUCUAACUGUGAGUCGCUGAAGAGAAUAGAUGGCUUAGUUAGCAAUCCAGAGAGAUGUCUCAGUUUUGCUAACUGUUUCAAGCUGAGUGAAGCAGCGAGAGAACUCAUCGAGGAAUCGGAUUACAAGUUUGCGCUCUUACCUGGUGGAGAACUGCCUGCAGAAUUUGAUCACCGAGCAAGAGAGGGUUUACUAACUGUCAAUUUGGAUCAGAGCCCUCUACCUUUAUUCUUACGAUUUAAAGCUUGCCUUUUGCUGCUUCAUGGACACUAUAUAGAGGACGAGGAUGCCAGUGAGGAUGAUAAGGACGAUGAAUGGAUGGGUGCCAAGAGGCUUUUCUGUGACAUCUGGUACGUUCAGAAUGGCCUCUAUGUUGGACAUGGAUCCUGCAAGUACCAGCUACCAGCAGUACUUGGAUUUAAGGAGCAUGUGUAUUUCUUGGAAUCUUCCAUUUCACUAAACCUUCCUGAAACAGAUGAGAAUGUCAGCCAGCUUCAUUUUGAGUUCAAGAUCACUGGUAAAUACUGGGAUGUAAAAGACUUUGGUCUACAGCUCUUCGAAGACCCUGAUGUUCGUGAUGACCAUGUAUGCUGUGGUGAUACUUACAAAGAAACUGCGGACAUCAAUAUUAGAGAAAACUUACAUGCAGGAACAAUGUGAAGAAGAGAAACAAUUUAAGAGCUAAGCUUUCUGGAAAGAAGCAACUUAUUGGGUUCUGACAAUGUUUGUGGGCCUUUUUUUUAAUCAUUCCUAAGCAAUGGGCCUUACUAAAUGAUUAAUGGGUCUAACUAAAUGGGCUUAAAUCCGAAACAUUAAAUUCGCACGAGGGAAAGUCUCUUCUAAGCGACAGUUCAUAGCAAUUUCUUUCAAAAUCUCCUUUUUCCUGUAAACGUCGCCGUCGCCGUCGCCGGAUGGAUCGACCGCCGUCGUUUCCUCACUACCAAAGCCCUAAUCCCAAUUUCUUACUCCAGCGCUCCAUCUCUUCCCGAGCUCUCCGGUACACUCUCCUCUCUAAUGUCAACGCACCUUAGAUUCCCUCUCGCAAAAUCUAUCUCUAGAACACUCUUCUCUUCUCCCCAAGGACGGUAUUGUUCGGUGCUCUUUUGAUCCAGAUCAUCUCAUGCCACCAGAAGCUCUCUUCCUCCAUUCACGCCGUUGCGCAAACUCUCUCGAUCUCACUCACCUCCUUAGAUCAUUUGGUAGCUACCGAAACACGCUCGAGUUACCGAUUGAGCCACAGCUGAAUAACGGCGAUUGUGAUCUCUGUUUCUCCUUAGAUGACGUCACCGAGUUAGGCAACAACUUCUUCUACAACGAUGGUAAAACGCGGCGUUUUACACUUCCUAGUGUUCUUCUAUCUGUGGAAAAUGCAGCGAGUUUGAAUGUUCUUCUGUGUUGGAGAAAUCAUUAGGGCUCUUACCCAACUUCGUAUUCCUUUAGUGUUCUUUGUUCGAUUCUCGGUUAAGAAGCGGUUGAAAUGAGUGAGUUAAGCGCGUGGAUUCUGGUGAAUUCAACGAGAUACGGUGUUGUAAUCGAUACAUACAUGAGUGAUCAUGUUCUCUUGCUGUUUAGGUUGUCUAUGAAAGCGGUUGUUAAGGAAGCUAGUGGGUUUAUGAUGGAGUAUGAUGCUAAUGCCGCUGGUGAGCAGAGCUGCAAAAGCAGAACGUUUGAGUGUCCAGUUUUGUUUCGAGUGUUGUCUUGGUUAGCCUCUCAGCUUGGCGUAUUGUAUGGGGAAGGAAAUGGGAAGUUUUUUGCACUAGACAUGCUGAAACAGUUCGUUGAAGUAUUUGUCUCUCGAAUUAUGUUGUUUCGGUCACCUGAAUCCUCUGGUGUUCUCAAGGAUUUGGAUGAGGAUGUGAAGAUUGGGAAAAUUUUGGACAAUGGUCAGGUGAUAUCUGUGUCUCGUGUGGCAGCAGCAGUUGCAGCGUUGUAUGAAAGAUCCAUGCUUGAAGGAAAAAUGACAACAAUUCGAUAUGCACAACCACUAACAAGAUAUCAACGGUUGGUUUCGAAAACUUUGUCCAUCUCUAUAGUGUUUAAGUUUCAUAUCAUGUUUGAAUCUGAGUUUGAUUCUUUAUGAUGUCUACAUGACUCUGUAGGUUAGCUGAGCAUGGUGCUAUGACAGCUAAAGCUGAUGAGGAACGCACGGGACGUCCUAACUACCGACCUAUUAUUGAUCAUGAUGGUCUUCCUAGACAACGGUUAUCAAAUCAGGUUAACACUAAACUAAGUACUAACUGUUAUUUUACAUGAAUGAAACAAACAUGACUCUAGAGAAUUUUUGCUGAAGUAACCGAGUUACAUAUAUUGUAUUGUCUAUGACGUUGUAGGAUAUGAAUAAAUGAAGACAAGAGAAGAGCUAUUAGCUGAAGAGAGAGAUUACAAGCGUCGAAGAAUGUCAUACCGUGGUAAGAAGGUGAAACGAACGCCUCGACAGGUAUGAAAUCUCUUCCUUCACUGUUCCUAUGAUUAUCACAUCUCUUAGUGUUGUGAAUGUUCUGCUGCAAAAUGGUCAAUAAUGCAUAUUUCUCACUGGAUUUUCUAAAAAGAAUGUGUAGAAAUGUUUAGGCUCUACCAUUUCCUGUUGAGGCAUUUUGCUGAUUUUAUGAGAAAGUUGGACGUUACUAAAAUCAUGCUUUCAUUUCAUUUAUUGAGUGAGUUUUCUCUCCAUCUUUUGUCUUUUAGGUGUUACGAGACAUGAUAGAAGAAUUUACAGAAGAAGUUAAGCUAGCAGGAGGAAUUGGAUGUUUUGAGAAGGGAAUGCCAUUACACUCCUCAUCUUCUAUAAGCCAGGAUCAGAAAGAAAUUGACUUUUUAUGGAAAUACAUGAGCAUUAGGUCACGUGUGAUACAAGAAAGGAAAGUAUGUACCUAUGAAACCAAAGACAUCACUCUUUUGAAACUCCGGUGACGAAGACGAUGACCAGAGCCAUUACUCAUCUCAGAAGAGCCGUCAAGGGCUAACCCUGCACCGCUAAAAACAUAAGAACCUGUUCAGAAAAGAUCUCUGUUUCUUCAUGGCAGGUGUUUGAUAAAAGACUCCUUAUGAUCCUCACAGCUAUUUAUACCUCAGCUAACCCUUAUUCCUCACACAUACUCGUGAGCCAUUACGCACGUGCAGAUCUUCCACGUCACCCACACCUCUAUGUGUGAUCCCAACAUACCAUGUGCACUUGUUCCCUCCCUAGCCACGUCCUUUAAUACCUCUUGCAUCCCUAAUUGGCACAUCGUAUCAGUGUUCUCCUCUCCAAUUCAGAAGAAACCGUCUGAAACGGCUACACGACGGAGCUCCAGAGUAAUCAGAAACCACCAGAGGCGAGAACACAAAACUCGGACGCUCUUCCUCUGUUUCCCAUUUCAGACGGCGACCUUGAUCUCGAAUACAUCUCUCUGAGUGCACACGACUGGUUAGUAUUCGUUAGAUUCCGCCUGUGUUUAAAAUAAAAUAUAAUUAUUGCUCUGUGUGUUUAUCAUCUUGUUGCUACAUUGUUUCGUUGAGUUUUUCUCUAUAUUAUUCUUUAUUUCUCAGUUUUGUAAUUGAAUAUCAUUGGAGAAUACCAUAUUUGUAUAUUGUUUCAGAGACCUUGAUGAAAAGUUUCAUCAUGUUGCAUCAAUAGUGUCACUGUAUCCGUCCCUGAACCUUUGAAUUGGAUGAGAAACAAUCAAAUUACCUGUCGUUAUCCUAUCUUUUUGGAGAAAAAACAGAAUUAGCGUCUUCGGAGAUUGUUCAGUCAUGACUUAUGCAACUACAGUUUUUGAGAUAUUGAUUAUCUUUGCCAUGAAGCUGCAUAUUUGUGAAAUUAGAUAGUGAUGGAGACUUUGGUUUUGAUAACUUGCUUCCUUGUAAUUUGCGUGUCUUUUUCCUUGCUGCCUCCUUCUGGAAAAAGAGUAACCACAAUAUUUUAUUACUUCUAUUGCUUCCUUGUAAUUUGCUGGUCUUUUUCCUUGCUGCCUCCUAAAUAGAGUAACCACAAUAUUUUAUUACUUCUGAAAAUUUGUUUUUUUUUUCCUGCAAACGGAGUAUUUUUCUUUUAUCUCUAUCGAUUGAAGAAGUUUCAUAGUCUUAUAGAAACUAAGAUGUAUGGAAACUUAUAAGUAAUGUUUCAAUUCAUCGACCCAUAUUUCUCAGUCGAGUGUUAGUUACAUUUUUAUUGAGACUACAUGUAUGUGUAGAUAAUAGCUCUUGUCACAAGAUAGUAAGUUCUUGACUUCUUAGAAACUUACAAACGAUGGUAGGGCCUAGACAUGACUAGGAUAUCAUUUGUUGACUCUGUUUACCCAGUUGUCUUAGUCUACGGAAAUUCCAUGAUUCUUCCUGAUGGUAAUGAAAGACUUAGAUUGCGAGUUGUUAUAUAUUCCUAUAAGUGGUUACUACUCUGAUAAUUCAUUUGAACAAAUCUUUUUCUUUCAUUCCGCAGAUUGGUUUUUCUGAAAGACACUUUCAGAUCUGCUCGUCUGAUGGCUCUUUCUGCUUUGUCUCGCCAUUGUAAACACCAUGUCUUUCCUAGCUUUCACGGGCCAGAUGUCCGUAGAGGCUUUCUCAGCUACUUACUGAAGGAGUUAAGAAAGAAAGCAAUCGACGUCUUCAUAGACAAUGACAUAGAGAGGAGCAAGUUGAUUGGUCCCGAGCUCACUGAAGCUAUAAGAGGAUCUUUAACUGCAGUUGUCUUGAUCUCGAGGAACUACGCUUCAUCAACAUGGUGUCUGAACGAGUUGGUGGAGAUCAUGAAGUACAGGGAUGAAGAUAACCAGACGGUGAUGGUGAUUUUCUAUGAAGUGGAUCCUUCUGACGUGAAAAAGCAGAAGGGAGACUUCGGAGCUGUCUUUGAUAAAACUCGUGCAAAGAAAUCAACCGAUGAAGUUGAGAGUUGGAGAAAAGCUUUGAAGCUUGUGGCUCAAAUCGCUGGUUACCACACAAGCAACUAGUAAGUCUUUUCUAUUUCCACUUGAUUGAUUGGUCCUAAUCUUUUUAACACAUCUCAGUGUAUAUAUCUGGUAAACAGUAUAGCGAGGGACUCAGAUAGGAUCAUUAAUUAUGCCUUCCGUGUUAAGUUUGUUUAGAUCUGGGGAAGAUGAUUGAAAUGGGUCAUUGUCAUGUGAAUUUUCAUUAUACUGUUGAAAUAUUUUGAAGUACAUGUCAUUUAUUUUCGACUAGUUAACAAAUGUAUUCAUCUUUUUCUUUCAGUGAUGAUGACGCAGUCAUGAUUGAAACAAUUGUAACCGAUAUUUCGAACAAGUUCAACGAUUCUACAACAUCAAAUGAUUCCAACAGCUUGGUUGGGAUUGGAACUCAUAUCAAGGAGAUAGAGUCAUUGUUGUCCUUAGAAUCCGAUGAAGUCCGGAUGGUUGGUAUCUGGGGUCCUUCUGGAAUUGGUAAGACGACCAUCGCCAGAGCUUUAUAUGGAGAGCUCUCUAGUAAGUUUACACAUGCUGCUUUUAUUGAGAGUACCCAAGGGAAGUUUGAGCAAAACUAUCGAGACGAGCACGCGUUCAAGUUGCAUUUACAAGAACAACUUUUGUCUAAGACCUUAAAUCAGAAAGAUGUAAAAAUAGGUCAUCUGGGUGUGGCAAAAGCAAGGCUGAAGGACAAGAAAGUGCUUGUCGUUCUUGAUGAUGUGGAUGACUUAAAGCAGCUAGAAGCCAUGACUGACCAAACUUGCUGGUUUGGGCCUCAAAGUAGGAUUAUCAUCACGACAAAGGAUAAAAAGCUGUUGGUAGCACAUGCGAUCAACCAUAUUUACCAAGUGGAUUUUCCAUCUACAUCUGAAGCUCUUGAAAUUCUCUGUCUGUCUGCUUUUCGUCAAAAUUCGCCGUCAUUUGGGUUUAAGGACAUGGCCAUUGAAGUUACCCGGCUCGCCGGUAACCUUCCUUUGGGUCUACGUGUUUUUGGCGCAUAUCUGCGAGGAAUGUCCAGAGAUCAGUGGAUAUAUGCAUUGCCUCGUCUUAGGACUAGUCUUGAUGGGGAGAUUGGGAAAGUAUUAAGGUUCAGCUAUGAUGCUUUAUCCGAGGAAGAUCAAGAAUUGUUUCUUCAUAUAGCAUGUUUUUUCAAUGGUUGGUGGAUUGAUGACGUUGUGGACUGUCUUUCGGAGAGUCGUUUGAACGUCAACCACGGGCUCCAAGUGUUGUUCGAUAGAUGUUUCAUAUCUAUACUCGAACGGGGACGGUUGGUGGUUCAUAAUUUACUGGAGCAAUUGGCUUUUGAGUUUGUUCGUAAACAGUCUGUUUCUGAUCCUGGGAAACGUCAGUUCUUGGUGGAUGCUCAGGAAAUUUGUGAAGUGCUCGAGGAAAAUGGUGUAAGUUUUGAUAUAAACUGUGUCCAGUCUUUUCUUGCUACUAUUUUCUUGAUCAUUUGUAGCUAAUUUAAGUUCUUUCAGGGCACUGAAACUAUUAGAGGAAUAGAUUUUGACUUAUCGGAGGUCAGGGGAGAAAUAAUUAUUGACGAGCGAGCCUUUGAAGGGAUGUCUAGGCUCCAGUUCUUAAGAUUCCGGAAACGGGGUUUGUAUAACAACACCAAACUUCUCUUACCCCAGGGUCUGAAGUUUAGAGCUAAUAAGCUUAAGUUUCUCGAAUGGGAUCAGUUUCCGUUGACAUGUUUUCCCCGUGAGUUUCAACCGCGGCGCCUCGUCAAACUUAUGAUGACGCACAGUAACCUUGAGAAGCUGUGGGAAGGACCUAUUAUAAGUAGUUUUAUGUGUGCUUUACAAUUGAAUUAAGUUCUUUGCAUUCCAAAUGUAUUAACGCGGUUUGGUCCUCUGCCUUAAUUUAUAAUAUGUGCAGCCGCUCCCAUGUCUGAAGUUGAUGGAUCUAUCUAAUUCCGACUACCUCAAAGAACUUCCAGAUCUGUCUAAUGCCCCUAAUCUCAAGAAACUGACAGCUAUUUUUUGCCCAAUUCUGUCGGAGAUCUCCUCUAUUGGGAAGUCCACUAGUCUCCAGUAUUUGAAUCUAGCUGGUUGCUCCAACUUGAUAGUGAUUCCCUCUUCCAUUGGGAAUGCCAUUAAUCUCCAGAUGUUGAAUCUCCUGAUAUGCGACGGUCUGGUUGAACUCCCAUCUUCUAUUUGGAGCCUCAAGAAGUUAAAGCAUCUGUCAAUUAUAGGAUGCCCAAAGAUCCGUUUGGGGUCACAGUUGAGAAGCUUUCCUGAUAUUUCCAGUAACAUCACAUAUCUCCAUACGAGUGAUGAAGAGAUAGAGGAGUUUCCUUCAUCAAUCAUGGCUUUUCCGUGUCUUCGUAAACUCACUGCAACAAAUGCCAAAAGUCUCAAGGUGUUUCCAGACGUUCCUGCCACCAUCAAAGUGUUAGAAUUUCAGAACGCGGUAAUAGAAGAAAUUCCUCCAUCGAUUCAGAGUCUCUCACGUCUCACUGAACUAACCAUGUUUGGCUGCCAGAAGCUAAAGGUCCUUCCAACUAACGUCAACCUGCAAUCUCUCUAUUCACUUAAUUUCAGUUACUGCACACAAUUGAGAACGUUUCCAGAGAUAUCUACAAGCAUUGGAUAUCUUAAUCUGAGCGAUACUGCUAUAGAAGAAGUCCCUUCAUCCAUAUGGUCUUGGUCCCAUCUUCUUGAAUUGAACUUGGAAGAUUGCCGCAGCCUUCGGGUGCUCCAUAGUUUUCCUGACAACAUCGAAGAGUUGGACUCGGACUUGAGCGAUACGGGAACAGAUUUCUCAGGUGGUGAUUCGGAGACUGUUCUACCGUUACGUAUAAACCUCAAAGGGUGUAAGAGUCUUGUGUCAUUGCCCCACAUUCCGUAUUUCGUUUCACUCCUUGAUGCAUCUAACUGUGAGUCGCUGAAGAUAAUAGAUGGCUUCUUUACCAAUCCAGAGAGAUGUCUCAGCUUUGCUAAUUGUUCCAAGCUAAGUGAAGCAGCGAGAGAACUCAUCGAGGUAUCGGAUUGCAAGUUGGCGCUCUUACCUGGUGGAGAACUGCCUGCAGACUUUGAUCACCGAGCAAGGGAGGGUGCACUAACUGUCAAUUUGUGUCAGAUCCCUCUUCCUUUAUUCUUCAGAUUUAAAGCUUGCCUUCUGCUGAUUCAUGGCGACUAUAUAGAUAGGAAGGAUUCCAGUAAGAAUUAUAUGUUCGAUGAAUGGAUGGAAGGCAAGGGGCUUUCCUGUCACAUCUCGUGCGUUCAGAAUGGCGUCAAAGUUGGACAUGGAUCCUGCAAGUACCAGCUACCAGCAGUACUUGGAUUUAUGGAGCAUCUGUAUUUCUUGGAAUCUUCCAUUUCACUAAACCUUCCUGAAACAGAUGAGAAUGUCAGCCAGC
rnacentral:lncRNA from 1 species